rnacentral:rRNA from 1 species
CGGACCUGACUGCUAUCGGAUUGAUACUNNNNCNUGCGAGUCAUUGUAGUAAUACAAGGCAGACGGCUCAGUAACGCGUAGUCAACCUACCCUAUGGACGGGAAUAACCUCGGGAAACUGAGUAUAAUGCCCGAUAGAACACUAUACCUGGAAUGGUUUGUGUUCCAAAUGAAUGUCGCCGUAGGAUGGGACUGCGGCCUAUCAGUUUGUUGGUGAGGUAAUGGCCCACCAAGACUAUUACAGGUACGGGCUCUGAGAGGAGUAGCCCGGAGAUGGGUACUGAGACACGGACCCAGGCCCUAUGGGGCGCAGCAGGCGAGAAAACUUUGCAAUGUGCGAAAGCACGACAAGGUUAAUCCGAGUGGUUUGUGCUAAACGAACCUUUUGACAGUCCUAGAAACACUGUUGAAUAAGGGGUGGGCAAGUUCUGGUGUCAGCCGCCGCGGUAAAACCAGCACCUCAAGUGGUCAGGAUGAUUAUUGGGCCUAAAGCAUCCGUAGCCGGCUCUGUAAGUUUUCGGUUAAAUCUGUACGCUCAACGUACAGGCUGCCGGGAAUACUGCAGAGCUAGGGAGUGGGAGAGGUAGACGGUACUCGGUAGGAAGGGGUAAA